GCCGGGCGUGGUGGCUCAUGCCUGUAAUCCCAGCACUUUGGGAGGCCGAGGUGGGCGGAUCACCUGAGGUCAGGAGUUCAAGACCAGCCUGGCCAACAUGGUGAAACCCCGUCUCUG
ensembl:misc_RNA Metazoa_SRP Metazoan signal recognition particle RNA